rnacentral:rRNA from 1 species
UACGUAGGGGGCAAGCGUUGUCCGGAAUCAUUGGGCGUAAAGCGCGUGUAGGCGGCUCGAUAAGUCUGCUGUGAAAGUCCAGGGCUCAACCCUGGAAUGCCGGUGGAAACUGUCGGGCUAGAGUACGGAAGAGGUGAGUGGAAUUCCUGGUGUAGCGGUGAAAUGCGCAGAUAUCAGGAGGAACACCAAUGGCGAAGGCAGCUCACUGGGACGUUACUGACGCUGAGACGCGAAAGCGUGGGGAGCAAACAGG